rnacentral:lncRNA from 1 species
UUGGUGGGCAUUUGGGCUAGUUCCAUAUUUUUGCAAUUGCGAAUUGUGCUGCUAUAAAUAUGCAUGUGCAAGUGACUUUUUCAUAUCAUGACUGAUUUUCCUCUUGGUAGAUACCCCAGGAAUUUUGCAUCUAUGUUUCUGAUGGAGAUUGAUCCAUAAUUUUAUUUUCCUGUAAGAUCUUUGUCAACUAUAGGUUCAUGCUGGUCUCCUAAAAUGAGUUUGGAAGGGUUCUCUCCUCUUCUAUUCUUCUGAAAGGGUUUCUGUAAAUUCUAUUAUGCCAUACUUAAGAGUUUGUUAGAAUUAACUAGUGAAAGCAAUUGAGUCUAGAGAUCUCGUCUUUCUGGGAGAUUUCUUCUUUCUGGGAGAUUUUUGACUACAAACCAAUUUCCUGUAUAGACUUAAGACUCCUCAGAUUUUACUCCUCCUUGUGUUGGUUUCAUAAAGUUAUCUUUAAGAAAUUUGCAUAUUUUAAACUAGUUAUUCAUAAUAUCCUUGUGAUGUAUGUAAGAUUUGUAUCUCACUUCAUUCCUGAUACUGGAAUGAAAUUCGUGCAUGUGUGUGUUUUUCUUGAUCAGUCUUGAUAGGGGUUAUCAAUUAGAGAACGAACUUUUGGCUUUGCUGAUUGUUUUCCCUUUCAUUGAGUUUUGGUCUUUAUUAUUACCUUCCUUUACUUAUUUUAUUUAAACAUGCUUUUAUUUUUCUAUGUUCUUAUGAUUAAAAUUUAGAUAGCUGAUUUGAAACCUUUCUGCUAAUAGAGGCAUUUAAAGUUAUAAUUGUUCUUAGCUACAUCUCAUACAUUUUGGUUUUUAAUUUUCUUUAAAAAUGAAGAGAUAGCAUCUCCCUAUGGCUGGUCUCGAACUCCUGGGCUCAAGGGAUCCUCCUGCCUUGGCCUCCCAAAGUGCUAGGAUUAUAGGCAUGCACCACCAUGCGUGGCCUGCAUCCCAUACAUUCGGAUACAUUGUGUUUUCACUAUCAUUCAGUUCAAAAUAUUUUCUAAUUUCCUUUGUGUUUCUUUUUUGACUGAUUGGGUUAUUUUGAAGUAUGUUGUUUAAUUUCCCAACAUAAUUUUGAGAUUGUUAGGCGUAUUACCACUGUUGAUAUGCCAUUCCAUGUCUGUGUGGUCAGAGAACACAGUCUGUAAUAUUUAAAUCUUGAAAUUUAUUUUAUAGCCCAGCAUGUGAUCCAGCUUGAUGAACAUUCCAUGUGCACGUGACAAGAAUGGAUAUUCUGCUGUUGUUGGCUGUAGUGUUCUAUGUCAGCCAUCCCUGUGGGGGUGUCAGUGAUGCUUGGACUCCACUAACUGCACCAUUGUCCUACUCCAUCUCCUUUGAGCCUGCUGUCAACCUCUGCACACAUGGCCUCAGCCCCUAGCCCUGGAUGACCACCAUUAGACCCAGCAGAACGGCAGCAGUGGUUUGCUGGCCCAGCACCUAGAGCUGCAGAAUAUGCUCCCUUGACCCUCAGGGAAAGAUGCAGAGCUAGUGAGACUUACUCUCCUCCACCACCAAAGUGAAGGUGAGUUUACCCUCUCCCUCAUCCCAGGAUCCUCCCUGAAUGGGCCGGGAGCUGCUGCUGACACAUCUCAGGACCGCCAGCUUCAGCCCCGCUCCCAGUGCCUUGUUAACGGUGAGAGCACUAGCGGAAAGAAAGGCGGCACGUCAGGGCAAAAGCAGCUUCUGAGGGCGUCUCCAAGCCCAGCCCUGCCUCCUUGGCAGUGAGGUAUGCCCGCAACCUCCACUUUGCUCUUAGUACUGGGGCCAAAGUAUCCUGGGUGUAAAAUGGGGAUGAUCCUUUCCAUGCCACGGGGUCCUGAGGAUCAUACACAACAGUGCCCCUAAAGCGCCUGGCACAGCACCUGACCGGAGCACACGGGCAACACACAGGCAACAAACAGGAGCUGGAAGAGUUUCCUGUGGCUGCCAGAACAAACACCACAAACCAGAUGUGGCGGUGGGGGGUCAUGCACCCGACAUUUAUUUUCUCACCGUUCUGGAGGCCAGAAGUCUGAGAUCCAGGUGCCGGCAGGGCCACACCCCCUCUGAGGGCUCGGGGUAAGAAGCGUCCUGGCCUCUUCCAGCUCCCUGUGGCUCCAGGAUCCUGGGCUUGUGGCUGCGUCGCUCCUGCCUCUGCCUCUGUCUUCACGUGGCCUGUCCCCAUGUAUCUUUUCCUCUCCUCCUCAGGACAUUUGUCAUUGGAUUUAGGGCCCACCCAGAAUCCAGGAGGGGCUCAUCUUCAGAUCCUUAAUGACAUCUACAAAGACCCUUUAUCUAAAUAGGUCAGAUUCACAGGUCCCGGCGGUUAGGACAUGGACAUACGUUUUUGAGGGCGCCAUUCAACCCGCAACGGGAGCCAUCACAUUCUCAUUUCUCCUUCCUUAAUGUUCUCACGGGCCCAGCACACAGGCCAGGAUGGAGCAUUCUUUGAGGUGUUCCUGGGAGCCCAGCAACAGACUGGGUGUUCAGUGUGCCCCUGUCGGUCUCCACGUGGGCCCUGCAAGAAGGAGCCACCCCCGUUUUACGGGGGGUUCAGGGCUUGUGGCCAGAUGUGCAGCUAGGCCUGGAUCAGGCUCCCGUCCGGCCCCAGUGCGUCUGCCGUGCCCGUGACCCCAGGCUGUGUCUCUCAGAAUCCGCCAAGAUUCCAGGGCAGGUAACUGCAGAGCUCCCCCGAGUCCUGUGCACGCCUCGGCUCACACUGCAGCUCAGCAGCAGCAACGCGGGUGACAGAAACCAGCUCUGUGUCUGUGAGCCUCUGCCUCACCUUCUGGGGGAUGGCACAGUAUUGCUCCAAGACAUGCAAACAGCUGCGGGCAGCAGAGACAGUGAGGCAACCCUGCCACACUCUCCAACCAUGCCCUCCUCAGGCAUGCGGAGAAAGCACCCCUUCAUCUGUGCAAGGAAUCCUCAAGCAGCAGACAAAAUUCAUGCACUGUUAAUUCAGAUGUUACAGUCACAUCCAGUGCUAAGGGCUGUCCUUUGAAAACAGCUGAGGUAGACACAUCUUCCAAGAACAAAUCAUAGAAAUGUUACCAGGCGAUUGUCUUCACAACCUCUGCAUCAGUGAUGGGGACUUGGGGGUAAGCUUUUGGUUGGCGUUGUGAACAGUGCCAGCUCCCUAAAGCAAGCUUGCUUUUCUGUUGUUUGAAAUACUGCAGGAGAACUGAAAUUCUCUUAAAAUAUACCGGUUUCUGGUUCAAGAGAAAUACUUUUUUGCACCAAUUUAAUUCAGGUUUCUAAAGCCGAGGCAGGGAUGGCAUCACAGUCUGUUGAAUGAAUUCCAGCUCAUUUGGGGCCUUUCCAUGACAAAUCAUUCCUAAUGGAAUCUCUCCAAAGCACAGGGGAAAAAAUCGAAGGCAUCAAAGUGCCCUUUCCAUUUCAAUAAACUCCACUGGCCAGGAUUCUGUUUGCAUAACACAGAAUAAACAUGGAACCCAGGCCUGCCCAGCACAUUUACUCCCUGGUUAGCACCUCUGUUCACCUGUUUUCUCUUUUAUAUGAGUGACCAUUUCCUAAAACGCAAUCAAUCAAUCACUGUCAAGUAAGAUCUUGAAAUUAUCACCAUGGAGAAAAGACAUGAAGAGUCUGCAUUAAGGUAACGUGACCGGUGCCUAGAGUGAGGAAGGAGCACGUUCAGAAUGGUCCCGGGUCAUUUUCAAGACCUUCCCCCCGUCACUGUUGGAUGAAGUAAGGAGCCGGACAUCAGUGUUUAUUAAACCAGAUUUAUUCUCCACAAGCUGAAGAUACCUGAGGUUACAUGAGGACUGGCAUUAAAUAAUUUAUAAAUGUAUUUUUGACUGACAGACUUUUAUCAUAAGGAUUCAUGUGUUUACAAAAGCAAAAUCCAACCUCUCCAGAGCUAGAAAGUGGGAAGGUGCCCGGGCUGCAAGCACAGCCUUGGGGGAGGAUGAGGCCACAUAAUUCUCUCUGCCCACACUCUCAGAAUGCCCCAAGAAGUUAGUAGCUACACAAAGCCAAGCCUUGGGGGAAAACCUGGUCCGUGGUGUGGACUCUCCAAAAUGCAGACCCAACCGGAGGCCGGGCCCGCCUUUCCAUCUGGAGGCACUGCAGGGCUUCUGAAAGCGGCCCAUCCCAGGAGCCUGGCAAACACCCCCAGAGACCCUCAGGAUGCGCCAGCCCCGGGGCUUUGUCCUGAGAAGCUGGAGCUCCGUGGCCCAGCUUGUGGAUGGGUGCCCAGGGGGCAGGCCCCAUGCCCUCAGCACGUGCUGACACGCUCCCUCCGGCUCCAACAACCACACCAGAACCUUCCGUAGAACAUUUAAGUAAUGAAGUCUCAACAUUACAGUAAAAAGGUGCAAAGGGUCUCUUUUACAAAUAUUUAUGUACAGCCAAGAUCUUGUUGAGUUCAGUAUAGCAUGCUGCGCGUACACAUACGCAGUGUGCACACGGAUUCAGGGAACUGAGCGGCACACUGAAGACGAGAUCACACGUGUGCACACGGAUUCGGGGAACUGAGCGGCACGCUGGAAGACGAGAUCACACAUGAUGCUAUUUUACUUUUGAUCCCAUGUGCUUUCCUGGGCAUGAUAUUUUAGAUGGAACUUUUUCUGGUCUGUGAUCUUUGGUAGAAAAAAGGUCUCUAGGAUUAUUAUAAAAAUGUUGCAUCU